UCGGUGGUUGUGUUCAUCAUGUUUUUGCCGAAGACGCGAAACAACUGGUUGACUGGUCGCGUCUUAAACACCCUGCAUAGUCGCAUCGUCUGCGCACAGAUCAGAGCGAAAGAGUGGUUCUGAGGUAAGAGCUGAGCUGUUCGACUCAUUCCUCUUGCCAGAAGGUUCGUCACCUUCCCCACUCCGUGGCCAGACCCUUCCAGGGCAUUCUUAUCAUCUUACACGCGCUGUAGAGCACUAUGACGUCGGGUCAUCGGCUACACGUGCGUUCCUGGGAACUUUGAAACUGUAACGUUCGCGUCUCUUAGAAUUUGUCAACCAAAACUGCACAUUGCACACAUCUGUGACAGAACUCGUCGACAAACCAAAAUUUAUGGCAUCGGCAGCCCGAUGGCUUUCGAAAGGCCUCGAUAGGUGCAGUUGCUCCUACGGAGUUCCG